UACGUAGGCAGCGAGCGUUGUUCGGAGUUACUGGGCGUAAAGGGUGUGUAGGCGGUUGUUUAAGUUUGGUGUGAAAUCUCCCGGCUCAACUGGGGAGGGUGCGCCGAAUACUGAAUGACUUGGAGUGCGGGAGAGGUGAGUGGAAUUCCUGGUGUAGCGGUGAAAUGCGUAGAUAUCGGGAGGAACACCAAUGGCGAAGGCAGCUCGCUGGGACGGUACGUGACGCUGAGGCGCGAAAGCGUGGGGAGCAACAGG
rnacentral:rRNA from 1 species